rnacentral:sRNA from 1 species
GGAGAAUAAAAAAAAAUAAGAUGGGGUAAGGGGCAGGCCACUCAGUUACAACUUGCAGAAGGGACAGGACUAGAAGAGGGUUAAAAUUGUGUGCACUUCUGUACAGUCUGUGACCUAGUUAUCGCCUGAACCUAAACUACUGGCACAUAUUUCCUAACACAUUAAACGGACAUCUAUCUGUGAUUUAUGUAUUUUUAUUGCAGCCGGUGUCACUGGAGUGUGUACAGUGUGUACAACAGGAUGUACCUUAUUCUUUUUUCAGUUGUUUAGUUGCGUGUUGAUGAUUUGAGAUUUGAGACCUUUGAAAUUUAGGAGACAUUUGCUACACUCAUUUAGAUCUAGACCUGGGUCUGCACAGAUUUAUGCACCGGUGCGCAGUGUGUCCGUCACACACACACACAUAAAACAAUAACAAACUGAUAGUGUUAAAUAUGUAGUCUAGAUCUAGAGGAGAUACAUUUAGAACUUAAUUCUGAUCUAGAUUUAUUUCCAUAUAUUUUCGUGGGAUUACAGUUGUGUAUUGAUUGAUAUAUUCGGGGAACGUAUGUGAUUUACAUUCACCCCCAGCCUCUGUUCCCUGACCCCCUCAGGGGGACAUCAAUCACUAUGUGUACACUUCAAUCUGGAGGAGUUUAUCGAUCCAGUUACACGCACGUGUUUCAGGCCAAGACGCCCCAUUCUGAUCCGACACUGGAAGAUAGCAAGACAAGGCGUCGUACUGUAAGUCAUACAUGUACAUUUAUUGCUUCUGAAUUUGUUAUUAGGAGGUGUGUUUUCAUAGUUUUCAACGCGCAUGUCUGUAUGUCACAUCAGUAACAUCCAUAGAUCUCUCUCUUUCACUCUCUCUUUUCAUUAUAUAUAUAUAUAUUGUAUAUUGACAAACAUUUGCUUCUCUCAGAUGUUGUUUCUUUCAUUCCUACGAUGUAAUGAGCAUUAUGCAAUAAAUACUAACGGUUCUGCACAUUGAUAAGAGACCAUAUUCAAAGUAGUGGCACCCCUAUACGCGCAUUAA